AUCCUGACCAGACUGCGCGGAUGCGCAGGCUGGUCUGGAUCCAUGCUGGUCGCAAAGCCACUAUGUUGGUUUUCUCAUGGCACGGCUCAUAUAAGAGAAUAUACAGGCCUACGAACAGUGCUUUAGUUGCCAGUUAUAAAAUAACAGGUGUUUUAUAAAUCUACUGAUAUAUAUACUCUAUUGCUAUCACAAUUUAAACAGUUGAGAAGUUUGGUAAAUGACAUGUGUGUGUGUCAAGGAUUGUUGAGGAAUGAUUUGUUACACAUUAUGCACAAUUGUUUUGUAUGUUUAUGUUGAUUAUGCAUAUUUUUGUUUGUGUAUUUUUUAGCUCACCUGUCACAAAGUGACAAGGUGAGCUUUUGUGAUCGCGCAGCGUCCGUCGUCCGUGCGUGCGUGUGUCCGUCCGUGCGUGCGUAAACUUUUGCUUGUGACAUCUCUAGAGGUCACAUUUUUCAUGGGAUCUUUAUGAAAGUUGGUCAGAAUGUUCAUCUUGAUGAUAUCUAGGUCAAGUUCGAAACUGGGUCACGUGCCAUCAAAAACUAGGUCAGUAGGUCUAAAGAUAGAAAAACCUUGUGACCUCUCUAGAGGCCAUAUAUUUCACAAGAUCUUCAUGAAAAUUAGUCAGAAUGUUCACCUUGAUGAUAUCUAGGUCAAGUUCGAAACUGGGUCACGUGCCAUCAAAAACUAGGUCAGUAGGUCUCAAAAUAGAAAAACCUUGUGACCUCUCUAGAGGCCAUAUAUUUAACAAGAUCUUCAUGAAAAUUGGUCAGAACGUUCACCUUGAUGAUAUCUAGGUCAAGUUAGAAACUUGGUCACGUGCCAUCAAAAACUAGGUCAGUAGGUCAAAUAAUAGAAAAACCUUGUGACCUCUCUAGAGGCCAUAUUUUUCAUGGGAUCUGUAUGAAAGUUGGUCUGAAUGUUCAUCUUAAUGAUAUCUAGGUCAAAUUCGAAACUGGGUCACGUGCGGUCAAAAACUAGGUCAGUAGGUCUAAAAAUAGAAAAACCUUGUGACCUCUCUAGAGGCCAUAUAUUUCAUGAGAUCUUCAUGAAAAUUGUUCAGAACGUUCACCUUGAUGAUAUCUAGGUCAGGUUCGAAAGUGGGUCACGUGCCAUCAAAAUCUAGGUCAGUAGGUCAAAUAAUAGAAAAACCUUGUGACCUCUCUAGAGGCCAUUUUUUUUCAUGGGAUCUGUAUGAAAGUCGGUCUGAAUGUUCAUCUUGAUGAUAUCUAGGUCAAGUUCGAAAGUGGAUCACGUGCCCUCAAAAACUAGGUCAGUAGGUCAAAUAAUAGAGAAACCUUGUGACCUCUCUAAAGGCCAUAUUUUUCAUGGGAUCUGUAUGAAAGUUGGUCUGAAUGUUCAUCUUGAUGAUAUCUAGGUCAAGUUCGAAAGUGGAUCACGUGCCCUCAAAAACUAGGUCAGUAGGUAAAAUAAUAGAAAAACCUUGUGACCUCUCUAAAGGCCAUAUUUUUCAUGGGAUCUGUAUGAAAAUUGGUCUGAGUGUUCAUCUUGAUGAUAUCUAGGUCAAGUUCGAAACAGGGUCACAUGCCAUCAAAAACUAGGUCAGUAGGUCUAAAAAUAGAAAAACCUUGUGACCUCUCUAGAGGCCAUACUUGUGUAUGGAUCUCCAUAAAAAUUGGUCAGAAUAUUCAUCUUGAUGAUAUCUAGGUCAAGUUUGAAACUGGGUCACGUGCCUUAAAAAACUAGGUCAAUAGGUCAAAUAAUAGAGAAACCUUGUGACCUCUCUAGAGACCAUAUUUUUCAAUGGAUCUUCAUGAAAUUGGUCAGAAUUUUUAUCUUGAUAAUAUCUAGGUAAAAUUCAAAACUGGGUCACAUGAGCUCAAAAACUAGGUCACUAUGUCAAAUAAUAGAAAAAACGACGUCAUACUCAAAACUGGGUCAUGUGGGAAGAGGUGAGCGAUUCAGGACCAUCAUGGUCCUCUUGUUUGUUGUUUCUGAUCAAGAACUAAUGUACAAUGGAGCACACAAGUUCUUUCUUCAUUACUUAACUAGAAAGAAGUUCCAGUAGUGUUUGUAGCUAUACCUACUUUUAAGGAAGUGUCUAUAUGCACACCGUUGAAGUAUGGACACAGUUUAAGUUGGACAUUACCAGAAACUUCCCAGUUGAACAAGCUAGAGAACUGAUUACUUAUCAGGUUUAGGGAAGAAUAUUUUUUAUUGGUUUACAUAAUAUGAAUAUGAAGGAAAAAAAGUAUCAUGUUUUUUUCCUUCCCCACUAGUUGUUAUCAUAAUAUAUUUCCUAAAUUUUGUUAAAAAUCAUAAUCCUAUACUGUAAAUCCAUAUCAGAAAAAAGAGGCAUUUUCUUUACUUUAUUUUGGUGGCUUAUAUUUAGAUGGUACUAGAUUUUUAUGCCUGGAUUGCUUCACAUUGUUUCCAUCAUAUAGGUAACAAAACCUAGGUUUUGUUGGUUUCAUAACAAAUUCAAGAUAUAGUAUAACAAAGUAGAAUAUCUUAGCCCUUAAGUUUGUGGUUUAAAGUCAUUUUUUGAAAUUUUUAAGAAGUUUCAAGUUUUUCAAGUUUAUUCAUAUAUAUUCCACUGGACUUUUAAGUCCAUGGUGGCAACAUUUACAAUAUAUGACGAAUAGUGCAUACAUAUAAGUGGAGAAGGUAUGACAUAUUACAUUUUGACAUAAUAAUACAAUUACAAUUCAUAUUAUAUAUCAGAGGUAAAUUUUGAAUUUUAUUGAUUUUUAUGCAGCCAAGUCCUGUAUUUCCAUAAUAAAAUUGUUGUUUACAAUUUCAUUACAAGAAAAAAAUCUUCUAAUGCUACAUGAAUUUCCGGAAAUCUAUGUACACUAGCAUGUGUACCAUAUAUGUAUGUUAUAGUUAGAUAAAGAGUUGUAUAGGGUAAAUGGGCUCAAUUUAGUAUUAGUGUUUGUUGUGUUAAUUAUAAUCAAUUAUUGAUUUUUUUUCUUAACCAUUGUUGUCAGAUAUUGAUCCUUAUGUCUCUUUUAAAAGAAUCAAAAGAACUUACAGUUGAAACAUUUGAUAUUAUACACUAUUGAAUAGCUUGUCAGUCAAUAGUCAAAACUGUUGCCCAAGGACAGAUGGCCAAUAGUUCUGGUUAUUGACUGGCAAGCCAUUCAAUGAAUGUUUUAUUACAUGACAUCAGAACUAAAUUUUCAUUUUUUUUCUUCAAGUUUUGACAGUAGCAUGGCAAAUUCAGUGUUGAACUGUUAACUGGUCAAUAGCAGAAAAUAUAGACUGGUGAUUUAUUUAAGAAGUUAUGUAAUAAAAUAACUUGAUAAAAUACAAGCUAACAUGAUUUGGAUUGUUAUACUGUACCUGUUAAUUAAUGUUUUUCUGUUUUAUGCUUUUUAAGAUAUUUUACAAAGUGUCACAGAUACCUGUGGUUCUUAAGGAAACUACAUAUUUUACCCAGUGCCAAUAUUAAGCUUUGUUAUAGAAAACUUUUGCCAGAUCAUUGCUUUUAUUUAGCAAGAUGCUUUGCUUUCAUUGUCUGUUUGUUUUAUAUAUUGUUCUAUUGAUUUACCAAUGCUUUUAAAAUGGAAAAAGAAAUUGACUCUGACCAUUCCACAGAUUGUAUAUGGCACCAAUGACAAUAUACUCUUUGUAACUGUAUUGGAAUAUUUCCUGUUGUACUAGAUGUAGAAAUUCGACUGCAAGUGAUUAAUUGUACCAAGGCCUGCUUUACUAAGGUUAUGUAAAUAUGAUAGGGGGGGAAGUUUAAGUAUCUUAAUUGGAUACUUGACAUUUUUCUUAUAUAAUGACAAAUAAGAAAGUUUCUUUUUUCCCCAUAAUGGUCCUCCUUGUAAAUAUUUCCCAGGCCUUAACUUGUUUGGUGUUUUUAAUUGAUAAUUUUAAUUUACUAACAUAUUACAAGUAAUUUUUUAAUCUGUUUCAACAUUUGAGUUUCACAUUUUACAGACCAGAAAUGGUGCUAUGCUAACAGUAUUUUCCUUUCCUGUGCUAAAUAUGGUGCUUAAUGUUUGGCUAAACUAAUUAUUUAGGUUGAACAAUACUAAUCAUUAAUUUUCUGGUAUUUUUGGAGGAAUUUUUGUUCUUUCUUAUGCAUUUAUUUAAUUUUGGUAUUGCAUGAAGUUUGAAAUGGUUUGAUGGUUUAUAAAAGAACAUCAUGCUGCUGUCUCAUGCUCUAGAUUUGAUUUCUUAGAUUUUUUUUAGGUCAAUACAGUUACAUUUUUCAAGCCAUAGUAGUUCAAAAACUGUACACAAAUUGUAACAUUAUAGAAAUUCUUUGCCAUUAUUCACAAUUGCCAUUUCAAUUUUUGAUCUCAUUUGGUUUGAUACCAGUGAAUAUUUUAUAGCUUUUUUACAGGUGUGUUUAUGUAAUACGCAACAAAAUUUUCAGUCUUGAGAGUCUAGGUUUAAAGUUGUCUUUCCUCCUUGCUAGUGAUAGAAUCUUCAGCGUGAAUGUGUAAUUGUUUUAUAAUCAGUUCUCAACUCAGUUGUCAUAUGUAUAGUUACUCUAGCUUUAACAAACAGACAAAGUAAUAAUAUGUAAAGUACAAUAACUUUUCUUAGCAAGAUAAAAUUUGAUAUUUUUAAGGGAAAGUGAGUUUAGGCAUAAACAUAAAGCAUUUCUCACUUACAGUAAUGGCUACUGUUCUAUUAGAAAACACAGAUGGCAUGCACAAAGUUCUUUGUCUUUAAAUUUAUGGUUUAACAGAAUACAAUGGGCUUGAAGGCAUUGUUCCCCUACAUAUCGCCCCCUUAAUGCAAAAAGGUACCAAGUGCCUUCUUUAUUCAUUCAUGUCCAGUAAUACAAUCUAAAUGUGUGCAAAACAGGAUUUAUACUAAAUGAGUUUUUAUGUUUAAAUGCUAUGCUAAGCUAUUGAACAUUUUAUCUUACAACACUGUGAAAUCAUUAAUAAUUGUGGGGGAUUAAUUUUCGUGGAUUUCGUAGUUAAGUCAAUCCAUGAAAUUUAAUCCCAACGAACAAGUAAAAUUCCCAUUCAUUUUAUGUUCAAAGUUGAAAUCCACGAAUUCAUAUCCCCACGAAAUUGCCGUUUUGGCCAAAACCACGAAAUUUCAUGCCCACGAAAUUAAAUGAUUUUACAGUAUGCUUUUAGAUGUGUUAGUUUCUUGCUUGUUUGGAUUGUUUUACAUUCCUGCUUGAUUUGCUCAUUAUUUUUAGAUUUUUUAGCUCGACUAUUCAUAGAAUAGUAGAGCUAUUGGACUCGCCCAUGCGUCGACGUCCGCGUCCGCGUCGGCGUCCGCGUCCCGAUUUGGUUAAGUUUUGUAUGUAAGCUGGUAUCUCAGCAACCACAUGUGGGAAUGGAUUGAAACUUCACACACUUAUUCACUGUGAUAAACUGACUUACACUGCACAGGUCCCAUAACUCUAUUUUGCUUUUUUACAAAAUUAUGCCCCUUGUUUGACUUACAAAUUUUUGGUUAAGGUUUUGUAUGUAAGCUGGUAUCUCAGUAACCACUUGUGGGAAUGGAUUGAAACUUCACACACUUAUUCACUGUGAUAAACUGACCUACAUUGCAAAGGUUCCAUAACUCUAUGUUGCUUUUUUACAAAAUUAUGCCCCUUUUUCGACUUAGAAAUUCUUGGUUAAGGUUUUGUAUGUAAGCUGGUAUCUCAGUAACCACUUGUAGGAAUGGAUUGAAACAUCACACACUUAUUCACUGUGAUAAACUGACCUACAUUGCACAGGUUCCAUAACUCUAUUUUGCUUUUUUACAAAAUUAUGUCCCCUUUUCGACUUAGAAAUUCUUGGUUAAGGUUUUGUAUGUAAGCUGGUAUCUCAGUAACGACUUGUGGGAAUGGAUUGAAACUUCACACACUUAUUCACUGUGAUAAACUGACCUACAUUACACAGGUUCCAUAACUCUGUUUUGCUUUUUAAUGAAAUUAUGCCCCCUUUUCGACUUAGAAAUUGUUGGUUAAGGUUUUGUAUGUAAGCUGGUAUCUCAGUACACACUAAUGGGAAUGGAUUGAAACUUCACACACUUGUUCACUGUCAUGAUCUGACAUGCACUGUAUAGGUCCAUAACUCUACUUUGCAAUUUUUUCAAAAUUAUGCCCCUUUUUAGACUUAGCAGUUUUUGGUUAAGUUUUUGUAUGUAAGCUGGUAUUUCAUUAUCCACUUAUGGGAAAGGAUUGAAACUUCACGCACUUGUUCACUUUAUGAGCUGAUAAGCACUGUGAAGGUUCCAUAACCCUUUUUUACAAAAUUAUGCCCCUUUUCGACUUUUGUAUUCAUUCAGUUGACAAGGCUGUUGAAUAGUCGAGCGUUGCUGUCCUCCGACAGCUCUUGUUUUUGCUGUACUUAAAAUGUUUCUGCAUUUUGAAAACAUUUAACAAAAUGUUUUGAAUAUUGUAUUGCAACCUGUGUAAUGCUUAAUGUCAACAUGCAGUCAUUUUAAUUCAAGGUCAAGGUCAAUGCCAAAGUUACAACAAUGAAAAAAAUAUAAAAGUGAAAUGAAAUGCCUUUUUAGUAAGACAUUAGACAAAAAGAGAUUUUAUUACAAUUAGACAAAUUGAUUCAUUUUACACUGUUUCAAGUUCAUGGUCAAAUAUUUAGAAUGUUGUAGAUUUAAUGAUUUUAUUUCAAAAUCUGUGGGAAAAAAAUCUUUUCUUUUGGUUUCCAUUCAAGAUCGCUGUCCAAAUUGGACAUUUUUACUCUACAGGAGGUAUCUAUAUUCAUUUUAUGCACUGUUGUUGUUAGUACUGUUUCAAUACCAUUUAGAAAUUGUAUACAACGUUCAUUGUAAUUUCUGCAGCUAUCAUGCUUGUAUUUAGAUAGUUUUUCAGCUCACCUGUCACAAAGUGACAAGGUGAGCUUUUGUGAUCGCGCGGUGUCCGUUGUCCGUCCGUGCGUGCGUCCGUAAACUUUUGCUUGUGACCACUCUAGAGGUCGAAUUUUUCAUGGGAUCUUUAUGAAAGUUGGUCAGAAUGUUCAUCUUGAUGAUAUCUAGGACAAGUUCGAAACUGGGUCACAUGCCUUCAAAUACUAGAUCAGUAGGUCUAAAAAUAGAAAAACCGUGUGACCUCUCUAGAGGCCAUAUAUUUCACAAGAUCUUCAUGAAAAUUGGUCAGAAUGUUCACCUUGAGGAUAUCUAGGUCAAGUUCGAAACUGGGUCACGUGCCUUCAAAAACUAGGUCAGUAGAUCUAAAAAUAGAAAAACCUUGUGACCUCUGUAGAGGCCAUAUAUUUCACAAGAUCUUCAUGAAAAUUGGUCAGAACGUUCAUCUUGAUGAUAUCUAGGUCAAGUUCGAAACUGGGUCACGUGCCGUCAAAAACUAGGUCAGUAGGUCAAAUAAUAGAAAAACCUUGUGACCUCUCUAAAGGCCACAUUUUUCAUGGGAUCUGUAUGAAAGUUGGUCUGAAUGUUCAUCUUGAUGAUAUCUAGGUCAAGUUUGAAAGUGGGUCACGUGCCAUCAAAAACUAGGUCAGUAGGUCUAAAAAUAGAAAAAACAUUGUGACCUCUCUAGAGGCCAUAUAUUUCAUGAGAUCUUCAUGAAAAUUGGUCAGAAUGUUCACCUUGAUGAUAUCUAGGUCAAGUUCGAAAGUGGGUCACGUGCCAUCAAAAACUAGGUCAGUAGGUCAAAUAAUAGAAAAACCUUGUGACCUCUCUAGAGGCCAUAUUUUUCAUGGGAUCUGUAUGAAAGUUGGUCUGAAUGUUCAUCUUGAUGAUAUCUAGGUAAAUUUUGAAAGUGGGUCACGUGCCAUCAAAAACUAGGUCAGUAGGUCAAAUAAUAGAAAAACCUUGUGACCUCUCUAAAGGCCAUAUUUUUCAUGGGAUCUGUAUGAAAGUUGGUCUGAAUGUUCAUCUUGAUGAUAUCUAGGUAAAGUUUGAAACAGGGUCAUGUGCGGUCAAAAACUAGGUCAGUAGGUCUAAAAAUAGAAAAACCUUGUGACCUCUCUAGAGGCCAUACUUGUGAAUGGAUCUCCAUAAAAAUUGGUCAGAAUGUUCACCUUGAUGAUAUCUAGGUCAAGUUUGAAACUGGGUCACGUGCCUUAAAAAACUAGGUCAGUAGGUCAAAUAAUAAAAAAACCUUGUGACCUCUCUAGAGGCCAUACUUUUCAUGGGAUCUGUAUGAAAGUUGGUCUGAAUGUUCAUCUUGAUGAUAUCUAGGUCAUGUUUGAAACUGGGUCAACUGCAGUCAAAAACUAGGUCAGUAGGUCUAAAAUUAUUAAAAUCUUUUGACCUCUCUAGAGGCCAUAUUUUUCAAUGGAUCUUCAUGAAAAUUGAUCUGAAUGUUCACCUUGAUGAUAUCUAGGUCAGUUUCGAAACUGGGUCACCUGCGAUCAAAAACUAGGCCAGUAGGUCUAAAAAUAGAAAAACCUUGUGACCUCUCUAGAGGCCAUAUUUUUCAUGAGAUCUUCAUGAAAAUUAGUGAGAAUGUUCACCUUGAUGAUAUCAAGGUAAAGUUCAAAACAGGGUCACGUACCUUCGAAAACUAGGUCAAUAGGUCAAAUAAUAGAAAAACCUUGUGACCUCUCUAGAGACCAUAUUUUUCAUUGGAUCUUCUUGAAAAUUUGUCAGAAUUUUUAUCUUGAUAAUAUCUAGGUCAAGUUCAAAACUGGGUCACAUGAGCUCAAAAACUAGGUCACUAUGUCAAAUAAUAGAAAAAACGUCAUACUCAAAACUGGGUCAUGUGGGAAGAGGUGAGCGAUUCAGGACCAUGAUGGUCCUCUUGUUUUAUGUACACAUUCUGUCUUCAUGAGUGAGAACUGCUAAUUCUUAUGGUGCUUUGUAUCCAUUUAGUAUUUACAUGUUCCGUUUUAUUCUCUGUCUCUUUUGUUUUAAAUGUAUGCUUUAAAUAUACAUUAUGUAAUUGAAAUUGUCUUUUAAUCAGCAUUACUUUAUGAGUUUUAACUCUUAUGUGUUGGCCUGAGCAUGAAACACUCCUGCAGAGCUGGGAUCGUUGGAUGUGCGUCUUCAGUCACACCGUUUUCAAAUUGUUAAAUUUGCUCUCAAGUGACAAAAUUUCUGAAUGAAACUUGGAGACAAGGUAUAUGGUCAGAAGAUGAUGGUCGAGCUUGAACUUAGGCCUGUUUGGAUCAGUGAAUCAAGAAAUGUAGUCCUUGUGUUAUUAAAUAAUGCAUACAUAUCCAUGUUUAUGCCCUAUCUGCAGUGUUUUUUGCCAGUAUUGAUAUUUUCAAUGUACAGAGUUGAAUAAGCAACAAGGGUAAUUGUUAAACAUAAUAUUUACACAAGAGAGUUUUUAAAAACAUUGCUUGUUCUGUUAAACUUAAAAUCUGAUUUUCACUUAACCCUUACCCUAAAUUUCUAUAAUGAACUUGUCUGUCUUUCAAUUUGGACAGUACCAUUAACAGUUAAAAGGGGUGCUUAUCAAAUCAAAAAAAAUACUGACUGAAUGGCGAACAGUGCAGGCCAUGAUCAGACUGCAUGGAUGUGCAGGCUGAUCUUGGUCUGCACUGGUCACAAAGGCAGAAUCACUUGCCGCUAGCAGGCUAAGGGUUAACUUUGAACAUUCUGAAGUGUUUAAAUUGACAAAUAUGCUAACCAUUUUAAUGAAAACAAUUAGCUCAUGAACAGGUUAGAGAACAUAAUAAUAGUAUUACAAAUUUAGCAGUGUUUACCUUAUAAGUUGCUGUAUAAUAAAGGGAGUUAAUGUUUUUGACAUAAUUUUCAAUUGACUGUUAUUUUAUUCAUUUAAUAUAAAUACUGCUUUGAUUUUGUUGGAUUUAACAUCGCGCCGACACAGUUAUAGGUCAUAUGGUGACUUUUCAGCUUUGAUGGUGGAGGAAGACCCCAGGUGCCCUUCUGCACAUUAUUUCAUCACAGGUGGGCACCUGGGUAGAACGCCUAACAAUACAUAAGCCAGCAGGAUGGCUUCCUCACAUGAAGAAUUCAACACUCCGACUUGGGCACAAACCCACAUUGGUGAGGGGAAAGUGAUUCAAAGUCAGUGACCCUAACCACUCGGCCACGGAGGCCCCUGAAUAUUGCUAACAGGUUAUCUUCUUUAAAACAUUACUAUACAUGUAUAAGAUUGGAAUCCUUGAGGUCAAUAAUUAACUUAGGUAAGUAGUUUAAACUGUACAAGUUGUAGCUUUUAUGUUCAUCAAUAUAUCUUUCAAGUUGUAACAGUAUGGUAAUUGCGGAACUUCAUUGGCCAAAAUAAGCAACUGUCCGAUAAAGUUUUCCAAAACAUUCUGGUCAAGCUGAAAAGGUAGUUCAUCUUUCAAAUAAAAUAUGACAGCCAUAUGGGGUAUUUGGGAUUUCCUGUUUAUAAAUGUAUAUAAUUUUCAUGUUAACAUUGUUAGUGCUGAACAAUACCAUAUCAACCAAACAUAUUGCCAAAUACUCAGGUGAGCAGAUAUAGUGCUAUCAUGGCCCUCUUGCUAGAGAUUCUAAGAUGCCAUAGUCAUGUUACGAGUAUUAUUUUGGAGAUACAAUUGUGCACAAAAUAGACUUUGCAGAUAGAAUUUUUGUUGACUUUUGUAUCAAAAAACAGCAUUUAAUUUGUACAUUCACCAUGCACAAUACUCAUUUCAUUCAUUGCCCGCCCACUUAGCUCAGUAGGUAAGAGCGUUGGUCUACGGAUCGCGGGGUCGCGAGUUCGGUCCUCAGGCGGGGCAUAUGUUCUCCGUGACUAUUUGAUAAACGACAUUGUGUCUGAAAUCAUUAGUCCUCCACCUCUGAUUCAUGUGGGGAAGUUGGCAGUUACUUGCGGGGAACAGGUUUGUACUGGUACAGAAUCCAGGAACACUGGUUAGGUUAACUGCCCACCGUUAUAUGACUGAAAUACUGUUGAAAAACGGGGUUAAACCCAAAACAAACAAACAAACAUUUCAUUCAUUUGUCAUUGUACAAAACUUCAUCUCAGACUUCUAUUAUCGUACCAAGGGAGACAACUUUAAACUAGUUGAAGACUGUUAAGAGUAAGCAAGAUAGUUUCAAAUACAGCUUUAAAUGUUUUUCAUCAUGUUUUUUACUGGUUUAAGUAUAGUCAGUUUUGAAGUUUUGUAUAGUUUCAUAUCAAGUUGACCAUAGUGUUCAUUUAAUGAACAUUGCAUUGUAAUUAUACCAUCAUCAUAUAUUAUGUUGUGUAGCCUACAUCAUGUGCUUACUGCUAGUGUCAGACACUACUAACCAGGCAUAAUAGUUCCUUGUUCAGUAUUGUUUUGUUACAUAAUCUAUAAUUUGGCAAGUGAAAAUAUCAUUACCUAUAUUUGCCUUCCUUUCUGAAAGGCUUUAACGCUAGAUGUUUUUAGAAAGUAAUGUAAACUAUAUAAUAUUGUGUAAGCAUUUCUGAAUAGAAGCCUUGAAAAGAUUCAUACUGGCUUGAACAUGAAUAAACAUUCAGGUUAAGAAGGUUUUUUAAUUCUUAUACGUCAUCAUCUAUAAGUCAUACU